AAAACUGCUAUAUAACAGCAGCAGCAUUCCGAGGCCUAUUUUCCUGCCUAAUUAGCGCUGAACACCUCUAAACACCUCCGAAACUCACCAUUAAUCAUCCCCGCGCCACCAAAACAGCUUGGGGACAACUCAAAUCAUAUUCACGCGUCACUUUGAUCAAUUUGAUCAAAGUUAGCCUCGUACUCGGAGAUUCGGUACAUUACA
rnacentral:lncRNA from 1 species